rnacentral:rRNA from 1 species
CGGUGUUCAACUGGCGUGUCCGCGGGACGUCCUGCCGGUGGGCUUAGCCCGCAAGGGCGGCCCAACUUCAAAUCCCAUCGCGGUGCUCUUCACUGAGUGUCGAGGUGGGCCGGCACGUCUACUUUGAACAAAUUAGAGUGCUUAAAGCAGGCUAAAACUUCGCCUGAAUACUGUGUGCAUGGAAUAAUGGAAUAGGACCUCGGUUCUAUUUUGUUGGUUUUCGGAACCCCGAGGUAAUGAUUAAUAGGAACGGAUGGGGGCAUUCGUAUUGCGACGUUAGAGGUGAAAUUCUUGGAUCGUCGCAAGACGGACAGAAGCGAAAGCAUUUGCCAAAAACGCUUUCAUUGAUCAAGAACGAAAGUUAGAGGUUCGAAGGCGAUCAGAUACCGCCCUAGUUCUAACCAUAAACGAUGCCAGCUAGCGAUCCGUCGACGUUCCUCCGAUGACUCGACGGGCAGCUUCCGGGAAACCAAAGCUUUUGGGUUCCGGGGGAAGUAUGGUUGCAAAGCUGAAACUUAAAGGAAUUGACGGAAGGGCACCACCAGGAGUGGAGCCUGCGGCUUAAUUUGACUCAACACGGGAAACCUCACCAGGCCCGGACACCGGAAGGAUUGACAGAUUGAGAGCUCUUUCUUGAUUCGGUGGGUGGUGGUGCAUGGCCGUUCUUAGUUGGUGGAGCGAUUUGUCUGGUUAAUUCCGAUAACGAACGAGACUCUAGCCUGCUAACUAGGCGUAUUUUCGACAUCUCAAAGGUCCGUCGUCCCGGCCCUCGGGUCGUGGGCGUGCGCGAUUUUUACUGUCGGCGUACUAUCAAUUCUUCUUAGAGGGACAGGUGGCUUCUAGCCGCACGAGAUUGAGCAAUAACAGGUCUGUGAUG